CCUACGGGUGGCAGCAGUAGGGAAUUUUGCGCAAUGGGCGAAAGCCUGACGCAGCAACGCCGCGUGAUCGAGACGCCCUUCGGGGUGUAAAGAUCUGUCAGUGGGGACGAAACUUGACGGUACCUGACUAAGAAGCCCCGGCUAACUACGUGCCAGCAGCCGCGGUAAUACGUAGGGGGCAAGCGUUAUCCGGAUUUACUGGGUGUAAAGGGAGCGUAGGCGGUUUAGCAAGUCAGAAGUGAAAGCCCGGGGCUCAACUCCGGGACUGCUUUUGAAACUGUUGAACUAGAUUGUAGGAGAGGUAAGUGGAAUUCCUAGUGUAGCGGUGAAAUGCGUAGAUAUUAGGAGGAACACCAGUGGCGAAGGCGGCUUACUGGACUGUAAAUGACGCUGAGGCUCGAAAGCGUGGGGAGCAAACAGGAUUAGAUACCCCAGUAGUC
rnacentral:rRNA from 1 species